GACGAACGCUGGCGGCGUGCCUAAUACAUGCAAGUAGAACGCUGAAGGAGGAGCUUGCUUCUCUGGAUGAGUUGCGAACGGGUGAGUAACGCGUAGGUAACCUGCCUGGUAGCGGGGGAUAACUCUUGGAAACGAUAGCUAAUACCGCAUAAUAGUAGAUGUUGCAUGACAUUUGCUUAAAAGGUGCAAUUGCAUCACUACCAGAUGGACCUGCGUUGUAUUAGCUAGUUGGUGGGGUAACGGCUCACCAAGGCGACGAUACAUAGCCGACCUGAGAGGGGGAUCGGCCACACUGGGACUGAGACACGGCCCAGACUCCUACGGGAGGCAGCAGUAGGGAAUCUUCGGCAAUGGACGGAAGUCUGACCGAGCAACGCCGCGUGAGUGAAGAAGGUUUUCGGAUCGUAAAGCUCUGUUGUAAGAGAAGAACGAGUGUGAGAGUGGAAAGUUCACACUGUGACGGUAUCUUACCAGAAAGGGACGGCUAACUACGUG
rnacentral:rRNA from 1 species